GUCUCCAUAGCUCAGCGGUUGAGAGCGGCCGCCUGCAGUGAUCAACAGCAUAGCGGCAGGUCACGUGUUCAAAUCACGUUGGGGACU
rnacentral:tRNA from 1 species